rnacentral:rRNA from 1 species
AUUGAACGCUGGCGGCAUGCCUUACACAUGCAAGUCGAACGGCAGCGGGGGAGAAGCUUGCUUUUCCUGCCGGCGAGUGGCGAACGGGUGAGUAAUACAUCGGAACGUGCCCUGUAGUGGGGGAUAACUAGUCGAAAGAUUAGCUAAUACCGCAUACGACCUGAGGGUGAAAGUGGGGGACCGCAAGGCCUCAUGCUAUAGGAGCGGCCGAUGUCUGAUUAGCUAGUUGGUGGGGUAAAGGCCUACCAGGGCGACGAUCAGUAGCUGGUCUGAGAGGACGAUCAGCCACACUGGGACUGAGACACGGCCCAGACUCCUACGGGAGGCAGCAGUGGGGAAUUUUGGACAACGGGCGAAAGCCUGAUCCAGCAAUGCCGCGUGUGUGAAGAAGGCCUUCGGGUUGUAAAGCACUUUUGUCCGGAAAGAAAUGGCUCUGGUUAAUACCUGGGGUCGAUGACGGUACCGGAAGAAUAAGGACCGGCUAACUACGUGCCAGCCGCCGCAGUAA